GGCCAUAUCACGUUGGAACAUUGGUUCCCGUACGAUCCGUGUAGUUAAGCAACAUCGGGCCUAGUCAGUACUUAGAUGGGUGACAGCUCGUGAAUACCAGGUCCUGUAAG